AUGAACGCUGGCGGGCGUGUCUAAGGCAUGCAAGUCGAACGGGUGUUUCGGAAGGUAGCAAUACUUUGAAACGCUAGUGGCAAAACGGGUGCGUAACACAUUGGUAACCUACCUCGAGGCUCGGCACAACUUUCCGAAAGGAGAGCUAAUUCCGGAUGUGAUCCCCUGACAUAUGUCGGGGAAUGAAAGGCGCAAGCCACCUUGAGAGGGGGCCUAUGGCUCAUCAGCUAGUUGGUAAGGGUAACGGCUUACCAAGGCUAUGACGAGUAUCGGGUGUGGGAGCAUGACCCGACUCACAGGGACUGAGACACUGCCCUGACUUCUACGGAAGGCUGCAGUCAAGAAUUUUCCCCAAUGGACGAAAGUCUGAGGGAGCGCCGCCGCGUGCAGGGAAAGAAAACUCUUCGGGGUGUAAACUGCUUUUGCAUGGGAACAAGAUCUGAGUGUACCGUGCGAAUAAGGACCUGCUAAACUCGUGCCAGCAGCAGCGGUAAUACGAGUGGUCCAAGCGUUAUCCGGUUUUAUUGGGCGUAAAAGGGUCCGCAGGUUGUUCGAAAAGUCUGGUGUUAAAUUCUGGCGCUCAACGUCAGAGCCGCAUUGGAAACUUUCGAGCUAGAGGGUGGGAGAGGCAGAUGGAAUUGUCGGUGUAGUAGUAAAAUGCGUUAAUAUCGACAAGAACACCAAAGGCGAAGGCAUUCUGCUGGAACACUUCUGACACUCAGGGACGAAAGCGUGGGGAGCGAAUGGGAUUAGAUACCCCAGUAGUCCACGCCCUAAACGAUGAAUGCUAGGCAUUGGAAGUAUCGACCCUUUCAGUGUCGUCUACAUAAGUUAACACGUUAAGCAUUCCGCCUGGGAAGUACGGCCGCAAGGCUAAAACUUAAAGGAAUUGACGGGAACCCGCCACAAGCGGUGGAUUAUGUGGUUUUAAUUCGAUGGUAAACGAAGAAACCUUACCAGGGUUUUGACAUCCCGCGAACUUUUCUGGAAACAGAUUGGUGCCCGCAAGGGAGCGCGGUGACAGGUGCUGCAUGGUUGUCGUCAGCCUCGUGUCGUGAGAUGUCGGGUUAAGUCCUUUAACGAGCGCAACCCUCAUCUUGUGUUAAAUGUUCACAAGAAAACUGCCUGGGUCAACCAGGAGGAAGGCGAGGAUGACGUCAAAUCAGCAUGGCUCUUACACCCUGGGCUACACACGUAAUACAAUGGCAUUUACAAUGGGCCGCGAAGCCGCGAGGCGGAGCUAAUCCCAUCAAAGGAUGCCCCAGUUCGGAUUGGAGGCUGCAAUUCGCCUCCAUGAAGCCGGAAAAUCGCUAGUAACCGCCAGUCAGCUAAAUGGCGAUGAAUACGUUCUCGGGUUUUGUACACACCGCCCGCCACGCCAAGAGAGUCGGUGGCACCUGAAGUACCUCGUUCGAGGAGCUAGGGUGAAAUCGAUAAUAGGGGCG
rnacentral:rRNA from 1 species